rnacentral:rRNA from 1 species
UCGUCUUAAACAGGCGUAAAGGGUGUGUAGGCAGCUUUGAAAGUUCUAUUUAUAAAUAGCUCUUUUUACCUUAUUUUAAGGUAUAAUAGAAUAAAUAAGCGAUUAAAAGCUAGAAUCAUGAAGAAGAUAAGCCAAAUAAUACUUAGAGUAGGAGUUAUAUCUGCAAAUACUAAGGGGAAUACUAACGGUGUAAACUUUUAUCUAUUAAUGAUUGACGCUGAGAAACGAAGGUGAGAACAGGAAAUAGGAUUAGAGACCCAGAUACCUCUCACUGUAAACGAUGAAUGGUGGUAGUUAGUAAUAGAAAAACUAGCUGCUAUGUUAACACGAUAACCAUUCCGCCUUGCGAGUACGGUUGCAAAACUGAA